rnacentral:ncRNA from 2 species
GAUGGUCACCCGCAUGAUGGUGUCCCGCGAGGGAUGAAAAGGGAAGAACGGUGCGCAGCUCUGGCUGCAAGGCCGUCGCUGCCCCCGCAACUGUAAGUGAUUGCAGGGUUUGCUGUGGACCUAAGCUCUUUCAAAGAGGGGAGGUCCACGCCACCGGCUCCUCCGCGCCGGGAAGGUGGGCGAACCCGCAGGCUGCAUGGUGACUCACCACGCAGACCUGCACGACACGAGCCAGGAGACCUGCCAUCAUCCGCGCUGCCCG